UAGGGAAUCUUCGGCAAUGGCCGGAAGUCUGACCGAGCAACGCCGCGUGAGUGAAGAAGGUUUUCGGAUCGUAAAGCUCUGUUGUUAGAGAAGAACGUUGGUAGGAGUGGAAAAUCUACCAAGUGACGGUAACUAACCAGAAAGGGACGGCUAACUACGUGCCAGCAGCCGCGGUAAUACGUAGGUCCCGAGCGUUGUCCGGAGUUAUUGGGCGUAAAGCGAGCGCAGGCGGUUCUUUAAGUCUGAAGUGAAAGGCAGUGGCUUAACCAUUGGACGGUUUGGAAACGGGAGGACUUGAGUGCAGAAGGGGAGAGUGGAAGUCCAGGUGUAGCGGUGAAGUGCGUAGAUAUAUUGGGGAACACCGGUGGCGAAAGCGGCUAUCUGGUCAGUAACUGACGCUGAGGCUCGAAAGCGUGGGGAGCAAACAGG
rnacentral:rRNA from 1 species